UUGCAGCAAGGUGACCCCAUUGAACAACUGUACAAAGAGCACUCAGAAAGAGGAUCCUUUGUCGAUCAACUUGUCAAUCAUGUUAAUUGGUUCAAACAGGCUACUGCAUCUUUUGAUCCCAAGUAUGAACAUAUUGACUUGAGUGAGAAACAAAAGGUCUUGAACGAGUGCCCAAACACAGAAAAUUGGUUGAGGGAGAAAAAGCAACUGCAGGACUCGCUUCCAAAGCAUGCUGAACCAGUUCUUCUGUCAUCUGAUAUUAGGAAGAAAGUAGAGGCACUUGAUAGGAGGAGGUGGUUUUACCCAAUAAUUCCAUCUGGUAGAGGCGUUAAGAAGAGGUGGUUUUACUGGCAUGAUGACGGGUCAUGUUGGCUGGAUGAUGGUGACCGUACACUGCAAGCUAGGUAUCCCACAUUUACGAUCACAAGUAUUUUCUUUAUCUGUCAAAAUAUGCAGGCAAUGGGUGGUGAUGGAACUUGAUUCUUGAACGUUUAGUCAUUAUUCAAAUGCUAUACCAUUUUGAUAAUUUUGUUCAGUUUCGUCAAUUUUGAUCAUUAAAGCCUGAAUCAUCGCCACUUUGUAAAUGAUUUUUUUGGAUGGUGUAUUCCUGUAAUCCAUGCCUUCAGGACCCACUAACUAUUUUGAUUAUGA